UACGUAGGUGGCAAGCGUUGUCCGGAAUUAUUGGGCGUAAAGCGCGCGCAGGCGGCCUUUUAAGUCUGAUGUGAAAGCCCACGGCUCAACCGUGGAAGGUCAUUGGAAACUGAAAGGCUUGAGUACAGAAGAGGAAAGCGGAAUUCCUGGUGUAGCGGUGAAAUGCGCAGAUAUCAGGAGGAACACCCGUGGCGAAAGCGGCUCUCUGGGACGGUACUGACGCUGAGACGCGAAAGCGUGGGGAGCAAACAGG
rnacentral:rRNA from 1 species